GGCGCCCCCAGAUUUGUGUUUUCUAAAGACCUCCGUGGAGGUCGGAUGGAGGCUGGGCUGGGAAGACAGCAAGCAGAUGCUGCUCCUGAAGGACGCAGUGGAAACACUCGGAACCGAGGACCUUCGGUCUCCGAUGACGUUCACCUACCCUGACUUCCUGAUCUGUAGCUUUUCCCCCCGGUGUAAAUAAAUCCCCCCGUGGCUGAUUUCAAGCUAGCAGCGUGAGGUCACCAGAGGCAGACUUGGCAAGAGGUUAUGUAUCCCCUUUGCGGACACAGUGAAAAAUAUCAGGGCUGAAGUAUUUCCGCGUGCCCCCCACGGAGCAGGCUCCGUGGGGAGAAGGUGGGGGAGAGAGCUUUGGACAUUGUAGGCAGGUGACCCAAAUAAAUGUGAGGUGGCGGGCAGAGGACAGACCAACAUGCAAUCCACUCUGUUUCCAUUAGCACUGGCUGGGCAGGGGCUUGUCCUUCCUAGACACGUGUUUGGGCGGGAUGGCCCGACGCCCUGUGCCCAACCGGUGCGAGCAAUGAGUGAACCCCGUCCCCAGACGGCGGCCGUUGGCUCAGGGAUGAGUAUUUAGCCGAUCAGAACCCGUGACAUGUGAGAAGAUGCUUCUUUGGGCUCCUAAGAUUGUCUUCUUUUUCCUUUCCAAGGGAGCCACCAGAGGAAGCCCUCUGCCUUCCUCGGAAUGGGCACAUGAGAGGGCUUGUACAGAAGUUCAAAGAUGGAUUACCAUCUGCCACGCGUUAGGCUCCGUUCUUGGGGUUAGAGAUGUAGCGGAGAAUGAAGAUCUGCGUUCACGAAGUUGGCACGCACUCCUUCCUACCUGUUUGCUUAUUGAACGCCGGGCCACUGUCUCAAGUGAACGGGGGACAUCUGAUUACCCUCUUUGGCAGAAGAGGAAAGAGGGGGAAACCGAGUCACGGAGACGUCGGCUUCCGCUUUGGGACAGGAAGGCGUGAGGUGGGGCUUCCAACCCCGUUCGUCUGCCUCUAAAGCCUGAGCCUGUAAGACCUCACGGGGCACUGCUUGUGGCCGGUCUGUGACUCGUUCAUUCGCCGAACAGAAGUUCAGAGGUGAGCAGUCAAGACUGAGCUUGAUGUUCUGCCAUGGAUGCUUCCACUCCCAAAGCGACCUCUUGGCCCAACAUGGCUGCCUUGGGUCAAGCCAUCAUCCCCUCGUUCCAGCCAGCUCAAAAGCGAAGGUGUUUUUGCCUUGUAUCCCUUCGGCCAGAACUCAAAACUUAAUUACAUGGUCACACCUCGGUCUGAGGAAGUUGAGAGCCGUAGCUAAGGAGGAAAACUGACCAUGUAUUCUGUGCACUGUGAGCUCCCCUGACUGUGUCCGCCUCCACUCUGAGCCCUAGCACGUCCCCUGCAGCGGCAGAAACCUGUGAUUUCCACCCGUGUAGCAUCCGUUCCCCUUCUCCAGUAUCAUUACUCCUAUGUUGCUUUGGAGAAGCACCCCUCUCCCAAGGGUUGAUUGCCAACCAAAGUGCCCUCCUUCCCUAGUCGUGGGCUGAGCGUGAUAGCCAGGAAGAUGAGCGGGGCUCUCCGGAAAACCGAAGCCUUGAGUGGGAUGACGCAAAGAAUAAGUGGGUUUGGAGCUGAUUUGUCCAGACCACAGUGCCUUGAAGAGUGCCACCCUGCUCCUGGCCACAGUGCCCGGCUUCUUGUCUUCCUGGAGUCCUUUCUUCAGUGCUUGUGAGCUACCCAGGCAUCUUCCACGAGUGUCCUGUUUUGCUUACAUCAUCCAGAGUUGGCAUUUGUUUCUCCGAUGGAGAAAAUCCUAAAGGAAUACUCUUGUGUCAUCAGCGCUAAGGGUGGGUGAAUGGAAUCGAUCAGUACGAGUCGUGAAGCACACUCCGUACUGGCCUCAGAAAAUGGUCAUGUUGGACUUGGAUCAGGACAAUGGAUGGUGUAUGUGACGCAAGGCGCCAUUCAAAGAGGAGGGAGCCACUGAGCUCAUGGGGUUUUAGAUGUCACAAUCCCCGAGUCCCCCGGCUUAGGAGGGUCUCAUGUUUUACUGGCUUGUCAGAUUCAUAAAUCUGAGAUCAAGAAGGUAAAAAAGACUCGGUCUGUUCCCUGGAGACCCAGGGCAAAUAUUCCCCUGCUGUGGAUUAUUUAUCUUUGGACGAUAUUCUGUCUGGACACGUGGCAAACGUUGACGCCUGCUAGUAAACAGGCUUCUUUCUGGACCAUCAGAAUCAUCUUCAAAAGCAAGACCGUCAGGCAAACCUAUUAAAAAAUGAAACACUCGGGGCGCCUGGGUGGCUCAGUCGGUUGAGCGUCCGACGUCAGCUCAGGUCAUGACCUCGCGGUUUGUGGGUUUGA